rnacentral:rRNA from 1 species
GAUGAACGCUGGCGGCGUGCCUAAUACAUGCAAGUCAAGCGAACAGAUGAGGAGCUUGCUCCUCUGACGUUAGCGGCGGACGGGUGAGUAACACGUGGAUAACCUACCUAUAAGACUGGGACAACUUCGGGAAACCGGAGCUAAUACCGGAUAAUAUAUUGAACCGCAUGGUUCAAUAGUGAAAGACGGUUUUGCUGUCACUUAUAGAUGGAUCCGCGCCGCAUUAGCUAGUUGGUAAGGUAACGGCUUACCAAGGCAACGAUGCGUAGCCGACCUGAGAGGGUGAUCGGCCACACUGGAACUGAGACACGGUCCAGACUCCUACGGGAGGCAGCAGUAGGGAAUCUUCCGCAAUGGGCGAAAGCCUGACGGAGCAACGCCGCGUGAGUGAUGAAGGUCUUCGGAUCGUAAAACUCUGUUAUUAGGGAAGAACAAAUGUGUAAGUAACUAUGCACGUCUUGACGGUACCUAAUCAGAAAGCCACGGCUAACUACGUG